rnacentral:rRNA from 1 species
GCGGCCUAUCANCUUGUUGGUGAGGUAAUGGCUCACCAAGGCGACGACGGGUAGCCGGCCUGAGAGGGCGACCGGCCACACUGGGACUGAGACACGGCCCAGACUCCUACGGGAGGCAGCAGUGGGGAAUAUUGGGCAAUGGAGGAAACUCUGACCCAGCGACGCCGCGUGCGGGAUGAAGGCCUUCGGGUUGUAAACCGCUUUCAGUAGGGAAGAAGCGAAAGUGACGGUACCUACAGAAGAAGCACCGGCUAACUAUGUGCCAGCAGCCGCGGUAAUACGUAGGGUGCAAGCGUUGUCCGGAAUUAUUGGGCGUAAAGAGCUCGUAGGUGGUUUGAUACGUCGGGUGUGAAAUUCAGGGGCUCAACCCCUGACCUGCAUUCGAUACGGUCAAGCUAGAGUUUGGUAGGGGAGACUGGAAUUCCU